rnacentral:piRNA from 1 species
UAAAAAUACGUGCAGAGGAAAUUGGUUUU